GCAGGAGUGGCGGAAUUGGCAGACGCGCAGGCUUCAGGUGCCUGUUAUGGCAACAUAGUGAGGGUUCAAGUCCCUUCUCCUGCA
rnacentral:tRNA from 1 species